rnacentral:rRNA from 1 species
GACGAACGCUGGCGGCGUGCUUAACACAUGCAAGUCGAACGGAAAGGCCCAGCUUGCUGGGUACUCGAGUGGCGAACGGGUGAGUAACACGUGGGUGAUCUGCCCUGCACUCUGGGAUAAGCCUGGGAAACUGGGUCUAAUACCGGAUAUGACCAACUGUCGCAUGGUGGUUGGUGGAAAGCUUUUGCGGUGUGGGGUGGGCCCGCGGCCUAUCAGCUUGUUGGUGGGGUAUUGGCCUACCAAGGCGACGACGGGUAGCCGACCUGGGAGGGUGAUCGGCCACACGGGGACUGAGACACGGCCCAGACUCCUACGGGAGGCAGCAGUGGGGAAUAUUGCAGAAUGGGCGCAAGCCUGAUGCAGCGACGCCGCGUGAGGGAUGACGGCCUUCGGGUUGUAAACCUCUUUCACCAGAGACGAAGCGUGAGUGACGGUACCUGGAGAAGAAGCACCGGCCAACUACGUG